rnacentral:sRNA from 1 species
GGGUGAGAACCUUCGAUUAAGGUUCGACUCGAGCGAAAGCGAGAGAACGUUGCCAACGGCAACGGCCCGAAGGGUGAGGAGCGAAGCGACGAAUAAUCCUUCCCCCACCACCA